AAAUAUCGAUAUAUUGAUAUUUUGAUAUAUUAUCAACAACCCUAGAGAAAAGUUUCAGCCAUAGAUUUUGGACCCGGUACAUCCAGAAAUGCUAACCAUUUUGCCCUAUUGGCAGACACGGAUGAUGAAGCUCCUAACCCUACAACAACGAACCCAACACUGGAUGAGGAAAUGGAUAAAGAUUUGCCCUCUGAAAAACCACCACCAAUUUUCGUGUCCAAUUCAGUUCACUUAUAGAUCACAACGAGACGGACAUGUUCGAAUUAUGGUGAAGAGUGUCGAAAAGUUCAGGGACGUAGUAAAAGUUCUGAAGAUAGAUAAGAUAAGCUACCAUACAUUUCAGCUCAAACAGGAUAGAGCAUAUAGGGUUGUAGCCAAAAACAUUCAUCACUCUACAAAAGUUGAAACUAUAAAGGAAGCUCUAGAAUCUGAAGGCCAUGCAGUUAGGGGGAUUCAUUACAUCCAAAGCCGUAUUACCAAGGAACCACUACCGAUGUUCUUUAUAGAUUUGGAACCACAAAACAAUAACACGGAAAUCUACAAAAUCAGGCACAUUAAUAAUGCAAUUGUAACUAUAGAACCACCAAGGAAAGUGAGUGACAUGGUGUAAUGUUUUCGAUGCCAAGAAUUCGGGCACACAAAGACAUACUGCAAUAAAACAUUCAAGUGCGUUAAAUGUGCUCAGAAUCACCCAAGCGUAAACUGUCCAAAGGAAAAGAAUGCACCAGCCACAUGUGCUAACUGCCAUGAAAAUCAUGCUGCUAGUUACAAAGGUUGCAGAAUCUACCAAGACAUCGCCAAACACCAGACUAAUGCAUCCAAAACCAGGCAAGCACCAACUGUAGCUCGUGAUCGACAGAAUCUGACAACAAAUAUUCCGACAAGGCCAAACCAAGAAAACGUUUACUCUAACCAACUAAAUUCUGCGCAAGUGUUACGAGGUGAGUCUUUACCACAAGAAAAAUCAGCACUAGAUAGAAUUGAGCAAUUAUUAAUAAAACAAUCAGAGCUUACAACCAAUCUGCUCAACAUGAUAAUGUUGCUUGU